GGUCAUGAGUCCCAGCACCAAGCCCCGGCUUGCUGGGCGGCAACCCUCCUCGCGGUGGGGUGCCCCGGGUGAGGACCCGGCCGGCCCUGUCCUGGGCGGCAAGCGCGAUGG
rfam:Phycicoccus sp. Root563 contig_1, whole genome shotgun sequence.